AACCACAGAACAUGCUCUCCAUUUGCUAGAGUAGUUCACUUUAGGGGUUCAAACAAUCCAGACGGAGUUGGUAUAACCGUCUAACUGUCUAAGUGAAUAUUUGCUUGGGAUGGGAUAUAUGAACAAUGGACUAUGCCCAUGCGUGUUUAUUAAGAAAACAAACUUCGGGUUUGCAAUUUUUGGUGAUCUACGUCAAUAGCAUGAAUUUGAUUGAUACUCUUGAAGAGAUCAAGAAAACCAUAAAACACCUAAAGUCGGAGUUUGAGAUAAAAAGACUUUCAGAGACCAAAUCAUUUUCUCGACCUGGAGUCGUGUAAAGUGCAAAUGGAAUUUUGGUCCAUCAAUCAAAUUACAUCUAGAAGAUGUUAAGAUGCUUUAAUGAGGAUAAAGCAAAGUCUUCAAGCUCACUCAUAAUCGUCUAAAGUCUAGUGAGACUCGUAUCAUCGUGUAGAUGAUAAUGAAGAGAUAUUGGGACCAGAAGACUCAUAUCUAAGUACAAUAGGCACAUUAUUGUACUUAGCUAAAUGCCCUAAACCGGACAUCUCACCCGAUGUGAAUUUGUUAGCUAGAUAUAGAUCUGCGCCAACACGCCGCCUCCGUAAAUGGCAUAAAAGACAAUUUUUUUGUUACUUUAAAUGUAUGACGGAAAAUGGCUCGUUCUAUCCCUAGGCAUCAUGGAAUGGAUCAACCGCCUAUGAUUCUUGGAAUGAUGUUUGCCUUGUUAAAUAUGCUGAUACGGGUUAUGUAAACCCACACAAGGCUUAUUCCCAAUUGGUUAUGUCUUUACUAUAGGGAAUACAAUAAUCUUAGAGGUAUAUGAAACAAAAACCUCUUUAAAUCAUGCUGACUAUUAAGUUAUUCAAGAAACAUGAUCAAUGUAGUAGUUUUACCUAGUGUGUAGUUUUCAGGGGGAGUCAAUAUUAGGGGGAGUAUCCUGAAGCAUACUCUUGACUAUUGUGUACUCUUUUUGUCCUUCGUCCAGGGUUAUUUUGUCCCACUGGGUUUUGUUACCUGGCAAGGUUUUAAUGAGACACACAUGUAAUUGGUCACCUUGCUCAUGCUGCAUCUUGAAGAUGUUUUUAUUUGAAAUAUAUGCAUUUGCUCAUCUUUUCCCUUCGACCACGGGUUUGUCCCACUGGAUUUACCGGGCAAGGUUUUGGUGUAGCAACUAUUAUGCAUCUAUCUCCCAUAGACUCGCAUCUUAUGAUUCAGACUGAACCACUUCACCGAAAUCAAGGGUUCUGACUAUUACUGUUACUUGUGCGUUGUACUCUUUUCUCCUUCGACCAGGAUUGUUUUUGUCCUAUAGGGUUUUUAUUACCUGGCAAGGUUUUGACGAGGCAACACCAAAACACAUAUCAGAGGAAGCUAAUGACAGAGAAUACCCAAGGGGGAGUGUUGUAAAUAGUUAUUACUUAGUGGGCAUUCUUGUAAUUAGCCGACUAGGGUUGUUAUUGUAAUUUACAUCAUGGCCUCAUCUCUAUAUAAGAAAUAGUUCCCUACUUAAUAAGACACACAUAUUCUCUCAUUCUCUUGGUUGUUUCUCUCCUUUCUCAGUUUAUUCUUUUUGUUUUACUAACAAUAUAUAUAUAUAUAUAUAUAUAUAUAUAUAUAGAGACAAAGACUGUCAUAAAGUUGUAUUGGUUUACUAAAGUUGUAUUGGUUUACUUUUGACAUUGAAGUAAUUUGAUCAUUAUUUUCUCUCCCAGUAUUUCCUUUCUAUUUUUUUUAUUGCUUGUGAAUGUAGCAUGUAACUGAAUAAUAGUUAUGGUAUUCUGGAAU
rnacentral:lncRNA from 1 species